GAUGAACGCUGGCGGCGUGCUUAACACAUGCAAGUCGAACGAAGCACCUCUCCCGAAGAUUGACACAGCUUGCUGUAGAUUGAUUCAUUUGAGGUGACUGAGUGGCGGACGGGUGAGUAACGCGUGGGUAACCUGCCUCAUAGAGGGGGACAACAGUUGGAAACGACUGCUAAUACCGCAUAGUAAGGAGAAUUCGCAUGUUUUCUUCUUGAAAGAUUUAUCGCUAUGAGAUGGACCCGCGUCUGAUUAGCUAGUUGGUAAGGUAACGGCUUACCAAGGCGACGAUCAGUAGCCGGCUUGAGAGAGUGAACGGCCACAUUGGGACUGAGACACGGCCCAAACUCCUACGGGAGGCAGCAGUGGGGAAUAUUGCACAAUGGGGGAAACCCUGAUGCAGCGACGCCGCGUGAGUGAAGAAGUAUUUCGGUAUGUAAAGCUCUAUCAGCAGGGAAGAUAAUGACGGUACCUGACUAAGAAGCCCCGGCUAACUACGUG
rnacentral:rRNA from 1 species